CCGCUUGCAAAUUAGUUUGACAUUUGUUGUCGUGUCAUUUAGUUUUGUAUUUUGCCAUUAUUUAUUUCAAUUAGUGCAACAGUUUUUUGGUCGAAUAAGGAAAGUUUCACAAAUAAAGCGUGAAUCUUAAAGAUAAACGGUUGUGGUGCCAAUUGCCAAGUAUGUGUGUACCAAGGUCUAUACACUGUCAGUCAUUUAUUGUGUCUAUCACUGAAAGAGAAGCAGCAUCCUGGUGAUCCUUCCAUUAAGAAAAUGACUACACGGUCAAUAACACCAAAAAAAUGUCAACAAAUUGUCAUCACAUAUAAUAUGCAAGUUAAGUUUACAUAGAAUCUUGAGAAUCAUCAUGUUGAGUGCAGCAGUUUCAAUUAUUUUGUGUUUAUUUCUUAUUUAGAUUUUGAAUUAAACUGAAUAAGAACCAUCUGGUUAUUCUUCCAAGGAAAAGGCAAACACCACCAUCACAGUCAACAAGUUAACCCAAUGACUGCCACUGGGUAGCAGUUACCCUUGAAUAGCUCUCCUUAGUUCUUUGGAAUGGGUCCACACUUAUUUUGAGUUUAACCUGCGCCGCUAAUCCAUCGACUGAAUCCAUUCGGGGGUAACUGACGAGAGAUAAAAGACAACUGACUAACUAACGUGAUGUCAUUCACCAAUACUGUGCGUGCCAUCCUUCCGUCGCCCCAAGGCAUGGGGGAAUUGUACCUGUUCCAGCUACGCUGCCAGCAUAAUUUCACUACCCAACUGACGGCCUGGUGGGUCAACUUACCCAUCACUGACUCCUACUACCCCUGCUCUCAAGUCUCAACGGACCAAAGGACGACCAUGUUGUUCUCGCAGAUUCUAAACUACAGGAACUUUCUAAAUUUGCAUGGCAGACUUUAUGAGAAGGUAUGUCCUUUGAAGAAAAAGGGCAAUGGCUGCUGUCAACAAGGUCCCUUAUUGUUUGGUAACCCGUUGGCUGCUACCCUUGAAUCUCCCUAUUUACUUCCUUUUGAUUUGAGGUUUAUCGUGUAUGUUCGCGUAGUUGCUGUCCGCUGUGGUACGUUGUUGCAGCCUAUGCUGGUGAUAGAUCUUUCUGCAUCAAAUUUAAUUGGCCGUGCUGUUGUGUUCCCGUUAAAUGUUAAGAAGGAAAAAAAAAUAUGGGGAUAGUUAUGUCUAGCAAGUAAUAAACAUGUUUUCGGGAUUGGGAAAGGAAAGUGGAAGAUGUUGGAGAGGGGGAUAAUUCAAGUUUGGAUAACAACAGUUAAUUUUAAGUUUUAGCCCUACAAACAUAUCCCUACCAAUUAAUCUCCAAACCCCACAAACUUAUACCUUCCAACUCUUCACACACAAACACACACUUACCAACCCUAAAUUUAUACCAUAUUCAAAUAAACCAAUGUUAAACCCUAACAAUGUGCUGUCUGUAAUAAAUAAAAAUUUUUAUACAUAAAA